UCCAGGUUCUUCUUACAAUGUGACGCAGAUCUAUGGACAGAGUCUGUGUUCCUGACCCUUGUAUCUGUGACUACGGCAGGAGUGACCCUAAGUUCCAAGGCUAGGUCAGGAGUGAAGAUGUGUCAUAAGUCUGGGUGGAGCUAUAUCAUACAGAGGUGGCUGGACAGCCCGGGGUGCACUUUUCCCAGAAGUAACUGCCAGACGUUCAAGUGUGAAAACCUUCAGCUGACUUCAGCUGGCACGAACAGUUCUCCUUCACCCGAGCAAAUCCGACGGACCUCACUACAGACUGGGCUGUGGCGUAUUUUUCAUGUACCAGAGUGCCACCAUUGAUCACAGCUCUAAGAGGGUGUUUGUGAAGUCAGGAAGUAGUAUUCCACGCCUUUAAUUCCAGCACUCAGGAGGCAAAGACAGGAGGAUUUCUAGACAGCCCCCUCCCCCUUUGGCUGCAGCUUCAGCAGUGCUUGAGUUUGGUGCAACCAACCCAUGGAUGAGGCUUCUUGGGGGAAGCUGUGACCCUGGAAGAGGCAGGGAGGGAGAAGGCUGCGGUGACUCAUGCUUCCAACUGGACUGGCUCAUCAAGUCUGUUUUUGG
rnacentral:lncRNA from 1 species